CCUACGGGAGGCAGCAGUGAGGAAUAUUGGUCAAUGGACGAGCGUCUGCACCAGCCACGUAGCGUGAAGGAUGACUGCUCUAUGGGUGGUAAACUUCUUUUAUAUGGGAAUAACAUGUUCCACGUGUGGGAUUUUGUAUGUACCAUAUGAAUAAGGACCGGCUAACUCCGUGCCAGCAGCCGCGGUAAUACGGAGGAUCCGAGCGUUAUCCGGAUUUAUUGGGUUUAAAGGGAGCGUAGGUGGAUUGUUAAGUCAGUUGUUAAAGUGUGCGGCUCAACCGUAAAAUUGCAGUUGAAACUGGCAGUCUUGAGUACAGUAGAGGUGGGCGGAAUUCGUGGUGUAGCGGUGAAAUGCUUAGAUAUCACGAAGAACUCCGAUGGCGAAGGCAGUUCACUGGACUGCAACUGACACUGAGGCUCGAAAGUGUGGGUAUCAAACAGGAUUAGAUACCCCUGUAGUC
rnacentral:rRNA from 1 species